rnacentral:tRNA from 1 species
GGAGGUGUGGCUCAGUGGUACAGCACUUGUCUGGGAUGUGUUUUCCCUGGCAAGAUCCUAGGUUCAAUCCCUAGUACCACAA